GAACGCAAAUUGCGCUCCUUGGUAUUCCGAGGAGCAUGCCUGUUUGAGUGUCAUGAAAUCAUCCACCCUGACUUUUGGUUAGUUCCAUUGGUCUUGGCUGGGAUUUGGGCGCUUGCCUCUGAUAAAGCGGCUCGCCUUAAAAUGAUUUCGGAUUGACUCUGUCUGCAGUCGGUUUGACUUGGCAUUAUAAGUUAUUUUGCUAAGGACAUCUUCGGAUGGCCGAUCAAUGACAGCUGUCUUGUGCUGCGUGUGUUUUCACACUUCCAGUGCGCUCCAUCUUUUGACAUCUGGCCUCAAAUCAGGUAGGACUACCCGCUGAACUUAAG
rnacentral:misc_RNA from 1 species